AUACAGUGCACUAUGGAAGGCAAAAAUGGGAAGCACAAACUUCUUUGUAGGAAAUGAGGAGAGACGGGGAAAUACUGAUGUGUUUUUGUGGUUGGGAGAACCGCAAUGCCUGGCUCUAUCUCCCUUUUCCAAGGGAACUCUGAAAAUACUCUCUAAUAGGCGUCUCUCAUUUCAUCUGACACCUCUCUUCAAACAGAAGCCUGUAGGUUAUUGACAAAGACAUCCUGUUAUUGGGAUCCUGAGAUUUGUCUUCAUUUUUGGGUACUUCAAAGAUUUCUGUCUGCAGUGCUGCUUUAUUUGGAUUUCUGUCUCUGUGAAAGCAGCAUGUUCAGUGCCUGUCAUCUGAAUUGACUUUGUACAGUGGGAUGAGUUAAAGUGGAAACACCAAUUUCAGAAAAACAAAGUUGUGCUUUUGCUCAGAAAGGUGGAAAUUACAUGAGAAACAUCAAAGACAAAAGAAGUAAAGUAGCAGUGAAAUUAAGUUUUUUUCUCAGCUGAAGCUGCUCAAGUGGAUCCUGCCUUUGUUACUACAAAUGGCCAUAUUGUAGACAGUAGGAACAACAAUUUAUUUUGUCCAGUGUAAAUAAAUAUGUGGUGAUUCCCAACUUU
rnacentral:lncRNA from 7 species